AGGGGAGGCUGGCGGGGCAGCCUGCGGUCCCUUCCCGGCGCCGGCGGCUCCUCCUCUGCUCACCUCAGCUCACCCCUUGCAUGUCGGCGGUGCCGGGGGCGCUGUGGAGUGGGGCACGGGGCCGCCCGCCAUGGCCGAAGCAGGAGCGGGAAGCACUGAGAGCGCCGAGGAGCGGCGGGCGACGGAAGAUAAGUUCUCUGUGGAUGGGAGCCCAUGCGUGGCCUGUGGAGGGCCCAGCCUCAUGAAUCCGGUCACUAAGGCUGCCACCACCACUUCCUUCAAUGCUGCCGUGCCUGACAUUCCAAGGAAACGCAAAGGAAGUGAUUCUGAUAACCAGGAUACAGUUGAAGUUGAUGGUGGUCCUCAGAAAAGGAGUGAAGAUGAAGAACAUGUUAAAGUAAAAGAUUUCAGAGAGGCUCACAGUCAAACAGAGAAAAGAAGAAGAGACAAAAUGAAUAAUUUGAUAGAGGAAUUGUCUGCCAUGAUACCACAGUGCAAUCCCAUGGCCCGAAAGCUGGACAAACUCACAGUGCUACGGAUGGCUGUGCAGCACUUGAAGUCUUUAAAAGGUUCCAGUAGCUCCUACUCAGAAGUCCGGUAUAAACCUUCAUUUCUGAAGGAUGAUGAACUGCGACAGUUAAUCCUUAGGGCUGCAGAUGGAUUCCUGUUUGUGGUUGGAUGCAACAGAGGAAAAAUUCUGUUUGUCUCUGAAUCAGUUUGCAAAAUACUUAAUUAUGAUCAGGCCAGUUUAAUUGGACAAAGUUUAUUUGAUUACUUACAUCCAAAAGAUGUUGCAAAAGUUAAGGAGCAACUUUCUUCAUCAGACGUCUCGCCUAGGGAGAAGCUCGUAGAUGGCAAAACUGGCUUGCAAGUACACACAGAUUUCCAAGCUGGACCAGCUCGGCUGAACUCUGGCGCUCGACGUUCUUUCUUCUGUCGCAUAAAGUGCAGCAGGACCACAGUCAAAGAGGAGAAGGAGUGUUUGCCCAACCCAAAGAAGAAAGAGCACAGAAAAUACUGCACCAUUCACUGUACUGGGUAUUUGAAGAACUGGCCUCCUAAUGAGGUGGGAGUAGAAGAGGAAAACGAUGUAGAAAAGGACAGUAGUAACUUUAACUGUCUUGUUGCGAUUGGGAGGUUACACCCUUAUAUUGUUCCACAAAAGAGUGGAGAGAUAAAAGUCAAAGCAACAGAAUUUGUUACACGAUUUGCCAUGGAUGGGAAAUUUGUUUAUGUAGAUCAGCGCGCAACAGCAAUUUUAGGAUAUCUGCCACAAGAGCUUCUAGGAACUUCUUGUUAUGAGUACUGCCAUCAAGAUGAUCACAAUCACCUAGCUGAAAAACACAAAGAAGUGUUGCAGAACAAAGAAAAAGUAUUUACAAAUUCCUACAAAUUUAGAGCAAAAGAUGGGACUUUUGUUACUUUAAAGAGUCAGUGGUUCAGUUUCAUGAAUCCUUGGACCAAAGAGCUGGAGUACAUUGUAUCAAACAACACUGUGGUAUUAGGUCAUAAGGAAUCAGCUGAAGAAGAGGUCCUCUACAGUUCCCAACCUGCAGAAGAUGCUGUAAAACAGUCUUUAGUAAGUGUACCUGGAAUGUCCUCUGGAACAGUUCUUGGUGCUGGAAGUAUAGGAACUGAAAUUGCAAAUGAAAUAUUAGAAUUACAAAGGUUGCAUUCUUCACCCUCUGGAGAAUUAAGUCCAUCACAUCUCCUCAGGAAGUCACCUUCUCCAGCUUUAACUAUAAACUGCAGUGAUGUGCCAAAUAAAGAGUUGAUUCAGUUAUGUCCUUCAGAAACAGAAGCUCUGGAGAAUUCAGAGCAAACCCAGGGUGCUAUUCCAUUGCUCAGUAAUGAACCUCUCCUCAGUGGCAAUUCUCAGCUGGACUUUGAUGCCAUCUGUGAGAACGAUGACACUGUGAUGACAGCUCUGAUGAAUUACCUGGAGGCUGACGGGGGCCUGGGAGACACAGCUGACCUCAGUGAUAUCCAGUGGGCUCUCUAGAGCUGCUUCGGGGAGUAAGGGAAUGUCAACAACCCCUCAUGCACAACAACUCUACAUCCUCAGUACUGUAUUGGAGUUUUGCAAUGAUUCCUUUGAAUUCAGACUUGUUGUCUCUGGAUUUUUAAAGACUGGAGCCUUGUUCAGAGAGACGCAUCUUCUGCACCUACGGACAAAUGCAAUAUUUUAUUAAUGAUGAGGAAACCUUGAAAUUUUAAUAUUGAACCAUCUGUAACUGGAAUGCUUAGAACACUUUAGUAUAUUUUUGCUAAGAAGCUUUAACCAAAAGGUAUUUAAAUGUAGGUACAACCCUAACCUCUCUCACUCCAGGUGAGGAUGGCAGCCUGGGCUGGUGUUUUUGGGAAGGCUGGAGUUGGGAACAAAUGGAUGUGGCCGUCACUAGAUGUCAUCCUUACGCUGCUGGGGAGCCACCCUGUCCUCAUGAGGACACAAUCUAGACAUGAAGUGGCUUCCUCUGCUUGACAGAGCAUAUUAUAGAUAAUAUGACUCCUUUGGCAAAUUAUGCAUUUUUUUUGUGAUGGUGAUUUGCUAGAAUGGCUUCUUGGUUUGAUUUUUUCUUUUUUUUUAACUCUGUAGACUUUUUUUUUGCAUGUAAUUUGGAUGUCGUUUACUGCAUUCAGAUCUCUUUUUUACAUACAUGGGGCCAAAAUAAUCAGUUCUCUUGCUUUAUUAGAAUAAACUUUUCUGAAUUUUCUGAAUUUUGGGGUAUAUCAUAGAGCAAAGUGGAAGAAAUAAACAGGCACUUUCUAAGAACUGAUAGAAAUCUAUUUGUGUAAAUGAAAUUUGAGAUUCUGCCAUUAUGAAAUGCAUUUUCUCUUUUCUAUUCUAGAAGUAAAUUCUAAAUAAACCAGCAAAUACUGUAGCUCAUAGAUAAAUGACUACACAAAUAACUUAAAAUUAUACAGACUUUAUUAGAACAGUUUUUUAAACUGGAUUAGUUUGGAAACAUGGCAGCUGUUGUUACUGCAGGAGCAAAUUAAUUCUUUCACAAGAUUUAUAUAAGUUUCUAGACACAAACCACUAUUUUUGAAUUCUUGGCUAUCCCUAAAAAAUAAAACCAAAAAUGUAACUUUGAUUCUUUUGCAGUCAAUGACAAAUAUUGUGACUUUCAAUUAAUUUAUUAGAUUUUCCCUUUACUAUUUGUAAUUUUUUUUUCUGGCUUAAAGCAGCCUUUUCAAGAAAAAGUGUCACUUGUAAAUAUUUCUGGUGAAAUUAAUAGAUAUUUUUGAAUACAAUUGAGAUAGUAUGUACUUAUCUUUGUUUGUAUAACAACACAAUUCUAGUAAGAUACUGACAGCUUGUUCCUGGCAUGGUGCAGGCAAUGAUAGGAUGUGGUUAAACCAGGUCAAUAAAUACUGUUUUGAUGCC